rnacentral:rRNA from 1 species
UACAGAGGUCUCAAGCGUUGUUCGGAUUCAUUGGGCGUAAAGGGUGCGUAGGCGGCUUCCUAAGUUUGAUGUGAAAUCCUGGGGCUCAACCCUGGAACUGCAUUGAAUACUGGGAGGCUAGAGUACUGGAGAGGAAACUGGAAUUUACGGUGUAGCAGUGAAAUGCGUAGAGAUCGUAAGGAAGACCAGUGGCGAAGGCGAGUUUCUGGACAGUUACUGACGCUGAGGCACGAAGGCCAGGGGAGCAAACGGG